ensembl:lncRNA
GGAGAUUAUAACAGAACAUGGCCAAGAUGUUCAAAUGUUCAUAAAUGACCAGCAUGGUCGAAUAAUAAUAAGGCAGAACAGUUGAAACUGGAGCAGCAGCACAGUCAGAUGGAAGUUGAAACUGGAGCAGCAGCAUGGCCAGGUGGACUGGGGACAGCAAGGAGUCAUCAUGUCAGGUAGUCCUGGGGCAUGGUCCUAGGGCUCAGGUCCUCCGAGAGAGAGAAAGAAAGAGAGAAGGAGAGAAUUAGAGAACGCACACUUAGAUUCACACAGGACACCGAAUAGGACAGGAGAAGUACUCCAGAUAUAACAAACUGACCCCAGCCCCCCGACACAUAAACUACUGCAGCAUAAAUACUGGAGGCUGAGACAGGAGGGGUCAGGAGACACUGUGGCCCCAUCUGAGGUCACCCCCGG